rnacentral:piRNA from 1 species
UGGUUAGCUAAAUCCACAAUU